GGGCUGGCAGGUGAACCUGGGAGGGGCGGCUCUGGUGAAGAAGGGAGUGAGGAGGUCUGAAGCCGGUUGCCCCGUGAAUCUGAAUUUCGCGAGUGUCCCGGGCGGUGGCUCCGGGGACAGGACCGCGCCCUCCACGGAGCCGCCAUGUGGCCGCGGGGGCUUCCAGGGGGCAGCGGCCCCGCGGGGACUCGGGUGGGACUUCGGGGCCUCCCACCCUCCCUCUUUUCAACGUUUGUCAGAUAAGAUGACGCGGAAUGAAAAGCGCGCUUGGAACGGAGCGGCCGUGGCCGGUGGGCUGGGAAGAAGGCGGCGCAGCCACUGGGGAGUCUCAGCGCCAGGCGGCUCCGUGUCGCGUCUCUGCCCCGCGUUUCUGAGGCUCCAAGCUGCCGGGGGAGCUGG
rnacentral:lncRNA from 1 species